AGUAGAAUGGCUGAGGUUAGGUGAAAGAUUGUAAAUCUUUUAAGGAGGUGAACUCUUCUACUA
rnacentral:tRNA from 1 species